CUGGUCUCAAAUGACUUUAAGGACGAAUUUUUUUUACUAUAWAAUGUAUGUAGAAUGACCUGCUAAGAGUGGUAACAACAACAAAAUCAAGCUCAGAACCUUAAACAUUAAGCCUCUCCCCAGGAAAAAAACAUCUGGGAAAAAUUCAGUUAUCAUUCAUUAUCUGAGGUAGUUGUUGGGGUCACAAAGAUUUUAAGAGGACCUGAAAGUAUUUGGAAAGAAUUGCUCUAAGAUAUUGAAGGGAAAGAUGCCACAGAAUCUUAAUAUACAAGUAUCUGGGAAAAAGUGAGUAAGCAAAAAACCUCAGGUUUCAUUUGUUCAGGCUAAAAGAAGAAACUGUGAAGGAAAAUAGACCAACAGUGGAUUGUGGUUUGAUACUGAGAAGGUGUUUGUCAAGUAGAGAUUUAAACCUAGUGGAUUUGCUAAUUCCACUAAAUAUAAAGGCGUGCCUUUAAAUACAUCAUCUGUGGUUAGAAGGUUUCAAAAGCAGAGGGAUUGAGCUACAGAAAAGUUCACAAACWAGAUUAUGGCUGCGCACCUUUUGCCCCCAACUGCCAUCUGCAUUUUCACUGGACCCAACCCUGUAAGCAAAUCAUCAAGCAGUGGAGGCUUGAGGUCUGGCUGCUCAAAGAAACUGCUAUCAUUUUACGAGGAAACAUGGCCUCGCUUGCACCAAAAUCUUUCCUUCCUGCAUUCCUCCUACCACAGCUGGCUGACAUCCUGCACAGAGCAGGCUGCUGAGCAGAGACAAAAUACACAACAUCUGCUGCCUUGCAUCUCUCAGCUUUUUCCACAGCAGCAAGCAUUAUGCAGUUCCCAGAGUGAAUUACUUGAUGGGAAGAAAAGAGGCAUCCUUUGGGGAUUCUGUGAUAAAACUGCUUCAAACAAAUGAACAAAAACUAUGACAGAAAUUCUACUAUCCAUCUGACUGUAGAUUUUUGCAUUACAAAGUUCUUGCGGUCCCAUCUCCACAUCACGCUGCAAAUCCACUGCAGUGACAGGCUGUGUCCAUCCGGCCUUCCAGUUGGACUGCUGAUCAGAUCAAUCUGUGACUAUUUGUCCAGUUCCAGAAAAGCCAUUUUUUGUUUUCAGUUGGUACAUCUCACUGUCACUCACUAUCCACUCUCUUCAAGCUGUCACAACUGCUUUUGGCCAAGCCUAAGCCUGAGAAGAAGGGACCAAAUACUGGCUGAGUCACUUCUGUUGCGUGCCAGCGAGUCGCUUGUUCACUGAUUGGCCACCUGCUUUUGAUCUACGUUAUAUCAUACCAGGGAGCUGCUCCAGCUGGCCAGGGACUGGGGAAUGCGGGCUGUAGUCAAGGAUACCUGCAAAGCACUGGGAACUGCAGCGAAGAGGCUUUGGAGAGAGAUGCAGAGAAAGGCAAAUCAGAGGGAAGACGAGGGAAAAAUAGAGGCAAGGAGCCAAUUUCUGAUCUCAGCAUCACUGAUGUCACCAGUCAGAAUCUGGUCCUCAGAGUGCUGAGGAAAGGAGAAUAGAAGCAGGUCAGAGGAGAAGGCGACAGACAAGCCGAGGUGACAGAGAGGAGAUAAUUAAUCAUGUCUCAGCUGUAAUCUUAAUGACUACUCUGCUUUAACACUUUUAAUGCCUCUUUCUUAGCCAAGAGCGCAAAAUUAAUAAAACGUUUCCAAGAGGGGAUGGGCA
ensembl:lncRNA